GGUUUUAUAUUCAAUUAUGAUUUUAGAAUGCAAUUCUAAAGGUGAAUAUUAUUCUAAAACUU
rnacentral:tRNA from 1 species